UGCAGUCGAACGGUGACGAGGAGCUUGCUCCUCUGAUCAGUGGCGAACGGGUGAGUAACACGUGAGUAACCUGCCCCAGACUCUGGAAUAACAGUUGGAAACAGCUGCUAAUACCGGAUACGAGACGGAGCCGCAUGGCUACUGUCUGGAAAGUUUUUCGGUCUGGGAUGGACUCGCGGCCUAUCAGCUUGUUGGUGAGGUAACGGCUCACCAAGGCGACGACGGGUAGCCGGCCUGAGAGGGCGACCGGCCACACUGGGACUGAGACACGGCCCAGACUCCUACGGGAGGCAGCAGUGGGGAAUAUUGCACAAUGGGCGAAAGCCUGAUGCAGCGACGCCGCGUGCGGGAUGAAGGCCUUCGGGUUGUAAACCGCUUUCAGCAGGGAAGAAGCGAAAGUGACGGUACCUGCAGAAGAAACACCGGCUAACUACGUGCCAGCAGCCGCGGUAAUACGUAGGGUGCGAGCGUUGUCCGGAAUUAUUGGGCGUAAAGAGCUUGUAGGCGGUUUGUCGCGUCUGCUGUGAAAAUCCGGGGCUCAACCCCGGACCUGCAGUGGGUACGGGCAAACUAGAGUGUGGUAGGGGAGACUGGAAUUCCUGGUGUAGCGGUGAAAUGCGCAGAUAUCAGGAGGAACACCAAUGGCGAAGGCAGGUCUCUGGGCCAUUACUGACGCUGAGAAGCGAAAGCGUGGGUAGCGAACAGGAUUAGAUACCCUGGUAGUCCACGCCGUAAACGUUGGGCGCUAGGUGUGGGACUCUUUUCACGAGUUCUGUGCCGCA
rnacentral:rRNA from 1 species